rnacentral:rRNA from 1 species
GAUGAACGCUGGCGGCGUGCCUAAUACAUGCAAGUCGAGCGAAUGGAUUAAGAGCUUGCUCUUAUGAAGUUAGCGGCGGACGGGUGAGUAACACGUGGGUAACCUGCCCAUAAGACUGGGAUAACUCCGGGAAACCGGGGCUAAUACCGGAUAACAUUUUGAACCGCAUGGUUCGAAAUUGAAAGGCGGCUUCAGCUGUCACUUAUGGAUGGACCCGCGUCGCAUUAGCUAGUUGGUGAGGUAACGGCUCACCAAGGCAACGAUGCGUAGCCGGCCUGAGCGGGUGCUCGGCCACACUGGGACUGAGACACGGCGCAGACUCCUACGGGAGGCAGCAGUAGGGAAUCUUCCGCAAUGGACGAAAGUCUGACGGAGCAACGCCGCGUGAGUGAUGAAGGCUUUCGGGUCGUAAAACUCUGUUGUUAGGGAAGAACAAGUGCUAGUUGAAUAAGCUGGCACCUUGACGGUACCUAACCAGAAAGCCACGGCUAACUACGUGCCAGCCGCCGCGGUAA